rnacentral:pre_miRNA from 1 species
GGGGGGAGGCCGGAUCCUGGGUUGUGUCCUGGCGCCCUGUGCUCAGGGCCUGCGCUGUUGGAUUCGCACUCCCUGCCAUGCAACCACCU